rnacentral:rRNA from 1 species
AUGAACGCUGGCGGCGUGCUUCACACAUGCCAGUCGAGCGAGAAGUUUUGAAAAGAUUCUUCGGAUGAAAUUUAAAAUGGAAAGCGGCGGACGGGUGAGUAACGCGUAGGCAACCUGCCCCAUACAAAGGGAUAGCAUUUGGAAACGAAUAUUAAUACCUUAUGAAACUUAACUAGUGCAUGCUAGGUAGGUCAAAGAUUUAUCGGUAUGGGAUGGGCCUGCGUCUGAUUAGCUAGUUGGUGAGGUAACGGCUCACCAAGGCGACGAUCAGUAGCCGACCUGAGAGGGUGAACGGCCACAUUGGAACUGAGACACGGUCCAAACUCCUACGGGAGGCAGCAGUGGGGAAUAUUGCACAAUGGGGGAAACCCUGAUGCAGCAACGCCGCGUGAACGAUGAAGGCCUUUGGGUCGUAAAGUUCUGUUCUAGGUGAUGAAAACUGACAGUAACCUAGGAGAAAGCCCCGGCUAACUCCGUG